AUGGACUCUUCUUCCUCGUCGACGGCGUCGUCUUCCCAGGCGCAGGCGCAGCCGGACUUCGACUACCUGUUCAAGCUCCUCCUCAUCGGCGACUCCGGCGUGGGGAAGAGCAGCCUGCUCCUCCGAUUCACAUCGGACUCCUUCGAGGACCUAUCCCCGACCAUCGGCGUCGACUUCAAGGUGAAGAUGGUCAACAUUGCCGGCAAGAAGCUCAAGCUCGCCGUCUGGGACACCGCUGGACAGGAACGAUUUAGGACCUUGACCAGCUCUUACUACAGAGGGGCACAAGGGAUCAUCAUGGUGUACGAUGUUACUCGCCGAGAAACAUUCACGAAUCUCUCUGACAUAUGGGCCAAGGAAAUUGACCUGUAUUCGACAAACCAGGACUGUAUAAAGAUGCUUGUCGGAAACAAAGUGGACAAGGAAAGUGAGAGGGCUGUCACCAAGAAGGAAGGCAUUGACUUUGCCAGGGAGUAUGGGUGUUUAUUUCUGGAAUGCAGUGCGAAAACCAAAGUGAACGUGGAGCAGUGCUUUGAGGAGCUCGUGCUGAAGAUAUUGGACACUCCGAGCCUGCUGGCGGAUGCGUCGUCGGGGGCGAAGAGGAACAUCUUCAAGCAGAAGGCGCCAGAGGCUGAUGCUGCGGCGAGCGGCUGCUGUUGA
rnacentral:rRNA from 1 species